UCCCAUGGAGAGCAGAGCCUGGUGGGCUACAUUCCACAGGUCAUAGAAGAGUCGGACAUUGCUUAGCAAUUAAACAACAACAAGGUGCUCAGUAAAUGUUCGUUUGGGAGCCUUUUCUCUUCCAGAUUAAGUACCCCUAGGUCCUGCGGUUUUGCCUGUGAAGCAGGAGGCUGAACGUUGCUUGACCCCCCACCAGCGCUCUGAGCUCUGAGUCUCUGGGGAACAGCAAGAAGGCCAGAGGAGGUGCUGACCCCCACACACCAGGGCCUGUGACAAACAGUGCUGCUCUGGGCACUUGGAACUCGGCCCAGGUCACUCAGAAGAGGAUUUGAAAUCUUAGAUCAGCUCAUUUCUAAGCCUUCGUUGUCACUUGACAACCAGAUCUCCUCUCUGCAGCUGAACAUUUGCUCAUGCGUCAUGGGAAGAACUCAGGGGAGAGCGGCUGCGAACAACACCAUCUGAACAGAGGGGAAAGAUGAAAAGAAAGCUGGAGGCUGCCGAUCCCGCCGUGGGAGCGUCUCAUUUCUGCUCUGACGCUCACGUGCAGAACGCAGGCCGCAGCGGAGGAACUGGCUUCACUCGGGAGCUGGGGGUUGCGGCCAGGGCAGCCCCUGGGGUCCUGUGGGGAUGAGGACCGGGGAGUAAGAAGACCAGGCAGACAGAAUUCCUGCUCUGGCCCUGGCUUAUCUGGCCCGAUGGCCUCAAAGAGCCCCUCAAAGGGACCAAGAGACGGAGAGUGGACGAGACUGAUGAGCCCUGGGCCACCCAAGACCAUCCAGGCUGCAGCCGUAAUGUGGACACACCCCGGGGUUGUGUGGAGGCAGCAACCACAACCCCUGUGUCCCGAGUGGGAGGGGCCUGGCAGGUGCUCCAGAGAUUCAGCUUGGCGGGGAGGGCCGGGUACUGCUCCAGAGACAGACUGGGCCCGAUGGAAAGCUGGCCCGAAGCUCGUCCUGACUCACUGUUGUGUGCGGCCUGUGUCCUGAAACCUCCGGGGUCUGGCCUCCCUCUGCCCAAUGCUCCUUUGCAGUAGGAAGGUCUGUGAGGGACGGGACAGAGCGUCCUAUCCGGUGAUGUCAUUCAUGGACACUCAGCAUACAUUGAGCACCGACUGUGUGCGCUGCUCUGGGCCAGCCAGGCUUGCUGGCCAGCCUUGGAGGCUGCCAAGUGUCUGUAUGCAGCUCUCGAUUUUCAUUUAAAAUCCACUGAUUUUUACCUCUGGCACGUUUUCUUUAGAAAUGACUCAGAGUUCAGUCACUCGGAGAGAGACACCAAGGAAAAAUUAAAUUAGAAGACAGUUCUAAUGGCAAAUCCAAACAGAUAUGACGCAGCUGGCUCUCGGGAGAUCAGCCUCCCCACGCGGGGCUGGAGCUGGGGAGGGAGUCAGAGGACCCGCUACACAAGUCCUCUGUCUGAGGUCUGUGGGCUGAGCCACUGCCGGGAACAACUUAGCCCAUCCCCGCCCCCCCCCCCCCGACA